UCGACGACGACUGGUGCUUGAGUGGUC
rnacentral:sRNA from 1 species